rnacentral:rRNA from 1 species
AUUGAACGCUGGCGGCAGGCUUAACACAUGCAAGUCGAGCGGGGAAAUGUAGCUUGCUACAUUACCUAGCGGCGGACGGGUGAGUAAUGCUUAGGAAUCUGCCUAUUAGUGGGGGACAACAUCUCGAAAGGGAUGCUAAUACCGCAUACGUCCUACGGGAGAAAGCAGGGGACCUUCGGGCCUUGCGCUAAUAGAUGAGCCUAAGUCGGAUUAGCUAGUUGGUGGGGUAAAGGCCUACCAAGGCGACGAUCUGUAGCGGGUCUGAGAGGAUGAUCCGCCACACUGGGACUGAGACACGGCCCAGACUCCUACGGGAGGCAGCAGUGGGGAAUAUUGGACAAUGGGGGGAACCCUGAUCCAGCCAUGCCGCGUGUGUGAAGAAGGCCUUUUGGUUGUAAAGCACGUUAAGCGAGGAGGAGGCUACCGAGAUUAAUACUCUUGGAUAGUGGACGUUACUCGCAGAAUAAGCACCGGCUAACUCUGUG